UGUCAGAGGAAAAGAUAAGUCAGGUCUUGUCUUUACACUUAGAAACAGCAAAUUUCCUAGGAUUUCUUGGUAUUUUUUUGGAUCACAUUUCUUAGAGUUGUCAUAUUGUGAAAAAUCAAUAUUUACAUCUAAAGGUGUUGAUUUAGUUUUGCAGUUUUCCAUUUCAAAUUUUAUUAAGAUAUUUUCAAUAUAAGCUUUCUGGUUAAUGAAUAUUUUGCCAUUUUCUUUGUAUAUUUCCAUUCCUAGCAAAUUGGUAUUUUUAGUAUUUUCCUUGAGUUUGAAUUGAUAUGGCUUGAUUUAGUAUAUUUGAAUCUGAAUAUAUGGCUAGAAUAUCAUCCACAUAUUCCCAGAAUUAUCUUAGAAUUGUUCUUCUCAUAUAUAAAUACACAUUUAUCUGAGGUUAGAUUUUUAAAACCUUCAUCUAAAAGAUGACUUUUGAGGGUGUCAUAAAAUACUUUGGCUGAUUGAUGAAGACCAUAUAUUGCCUUUUUGAGCUUGCAAACCAUGUUUUUAUCACCCAUUUCAAAACCUUCAGGUUGUAACAUAUAUUGUUUUUCUUGGAGGUCACCAUACAAAUAUGCUGUUUCAAUAUCAUAAUUUUUAAAAUCAUAAUUUUGCAUUGCAGCAUAACAAAGUAAUAUUCUGAGUGUAUCAGAACUUAUAACUGGUGAAAAUGUUUGAGAGUAAUCAAUUCCAUAUUUUUGAGAAUAACCAGCUGCAACCAAUCUGGCUUUGUAUCUUUUUCCUAUUAUGGGGUCAUUUUUAAUGGUAAAAAUCCAUUUGCUUUUGAUUGGUUUUGUUCCUUUAGGAAGUGGUUCAAUGUCCCAUACAUGGUGUUCUAAUAAAUAAUUUAUUUAGUUUUUCAUGGCUUCUGUCCAUUUACUUGCUUGUGGGCAUUCAAUUGCUUCUUUAUAAGUUUUUGGUAUAUGAUUUUGAUACUGAGUCAUUAAUAGAGUAUCAUUUGGGGCUUGAAUAAUUGAAUUUUCUUCAUAUUCUUCUUCACUCAAACUUGGUUCAUAAUAGAAGCCUGGUCUAUGUGUGUGUCUAAAGUUGUAUCUUGUAUUUGAUACUGAAUUCUGAAUUUCAACAGAGGAUUCUUCAUCUCCUGAUGAUGAAUUUGUUUCUUCUUCUGCAGGAAAUGAAGUAAGGAAGCAAUCUUCCAGAGUUUGUAGCAAGGUGGUCCACCGUCCUCUGUACCACAGUGAGGGCAUUGCAGGUUUUUAUCUUUCGGGAGAAUCUUUUGGUAGAAUGUUUUGAUGCCGUAUGGCUUCAGUAGUGAAGCUAUAGCGACUGAUUGUGGACUAUAGGGGAGAGUGCAGUGACUUAUGUUAAUUUGUGCUGGUUUUGUGUAAUUUGGGUUAUAAAAGUGUCUGUUGAUGAAUGAAAUAGGGUAAUUGGCAUUUGUCAAAUGGGCUAUUUGAUAUCUCAAUGUUUUGGAAUAUGUUAAGUGAACAAUGUGUGAAGAUCCGCUUGGUAAGGGUCUUCGCUAAGCUUAUUUUAUGGGUAAUGGGGCAGUGGGAGCUAUAAUGUGUGUAGUGUGGGGGGUGAGUUGUUCUUAUAGUAAACGGUAGUGUGAAAGAAAUUAUUGGUACGGAUUCGUUCGUUUUAUUUAAUUCAAAUAUCUGAUUUAAAAUAAAAUAAAAUAAACAUAUAAAUAACAAUCAUCUAAGAGGUUCUAAACUGAGUAUAUACAUCUGGUAAGUCAAUUUUUCUAUUAAUACUAUUUUUAUUUUCUCCUGAGCUCCAGCUUUCUAAAUAUAAUCGGCAAUGUUCUUCUAUGAUAUUUUGAUGUAUUAUAGAUGUGUGAUCGAAGUCUGGAGUAUGACUAUUGUUGAAUGCAUGAUCUACCAGUAGGGAUGUCGGACUAUGGUGCUUUAGUGCGGAUUUGUGUUGGUUAAUUCUUUCAGAUAAAGAUUUGCUGGUUUCUCCUAUGUAUAUUGCCUGACAGGAUUUACAUGGUAUUUUAUAAAUUACAUUGACUCUAUCUUCUGGCUUGUAGAUUUGUUUUGUAUCAGGGUGACGGAAGAUGCUUCUUUAAUUUUGGUUGGGUUGAUAUCUUGAGUUGAGUUUUUUUAAACUUCUGGCUAUUCAUUCACAACCAUAGGUGUAAGGUAAGGAGCAAAAUAUGUUCGGGGUUAAGACCUGUCUAUUGUUCGUGGAUGGAAUUUUUGGUAUAUAUAAUUGCUUUUUUAUAUUAUUCCAAAUGAAGAGCACCUCGUCGCUGGCCUGAUGGGGCAGGUUCUUCCCUAGCUUCCUUAACAGCAGGUCUGCUUCUUCAAUGGAGAAAGGGUCGCAGUGGUACAGGCCUGGGUGAGGAUGGUGGCAUCGGGAUUCACCCGUCUCAGUUCCUGGUAGCUAGCUGUCUGGAGCAGUUUUUCCCAUCUUGAGAAGGCAUACUGCAUUAGAAGAGAUGGGUUCUUCCAACUGGGCUCUGCCCUUGGAGAUCUAGGUUGAAUUCAAUGUUAUCACCAACUAUGUGUUUAUUUGGAUCAUUUUGGUGCAGCCUGAGGAGUGUUGAUCCAGUAUCUCCUGCAUGGUACGCUUCUUGUUGAUGUUGUAGGAUCUACUAGGAGUAGAUAUAAAUGGAUUUAUUUUAAAGUUUACAAUUUAAAACAAAAUUAAAAAGAAAGAGAAAGUAAAAAGUCUUAUUCUUCGGUUGUCAUCGUAAACGCUCUUCUUGAUUCCGUGUUGCCAGCUUCUUCCUAAUCAAAUCCUACAUAUAUAUAUAUUUAAUUAUCGUCUAUCAAACCUCCCUUUAAUUAAAAAUUCAGUCCUGUGUGAAGUCCAUUCCCAGCAUCUUGGUCUGGUUAUUUAGGCGGAGACCGGAGAGGUUCUUGGUUAACAGGUCCUGUUGUUCUGUUCUCACAUAGAUUGGUUGGAUUGUUUUCUUCACAUUAGGAUUGUCAUCAAUAACUUGUGAUCUAGGAAGAUGUAUAUAGGCUGAAGUCCUCUCCGCAUACAGAUCUUGAAGAGCUUGUGUGAUAUAUUGGAUUCCUCCCGUUUAAUCUGCCUAAUUGCUUGAGCCACACCUGCAUCUAGUUCCGUAUGCUCUGAUUUGGAUAUAUAUUUUGCUAUGUAAAAUGUGAUGGCAUCAUUUGAUCCGUAUGGUCGAAUAUCCAUAUUUCCUUUCCAUAAUCCUAAGAGUGUUGGAUUAUAGUUGUUAACCCAUCGGUCCUCCUGGUGACGCUUGAGUAAACUUAGUCUUCCACCGUUCCGUACGAAAUCAAGUGAUGAAUGUGCUACGAUUCGGGUUUCCGCACACUCCUGACGUGGGAAGCUGAACCUACAUGUUGGUGAAUCAUUUUUCGUACAAGAAGUAGUGUGAUGAUGAAUUUGACACUUCUUGAUUUAGCUCAUGAAUCUCUGAAUCUUCGGAUGAUAUUUUGCAUGAGCAUACACGAUCGAAUGAUGGAUUGUUUUCUAACCAAACCACUAUAUGUAGAUGUGGACUACCUCUGUUUUGAAACUCGAUACGCCACCAGUAGUCGUUCACUCGUCCGCCAAACACCUCCUGGUUGCUUAGGAUAAAUUUCAUCAACGUAUUUACGCAAAUUGCAAAAUGACGGCUUACAAUCACUGAAUUGUUCGAUUAGUUUUUGCGUCGCUUGCAAGUCAAGUGCAGCAGGAUUUGUGUUGAUUUAUAAGAUCUUUGAGUGGUUUGCUGGUUUCCCCUAUAUAAUUAGCUUGGAAAUUGUUACAAGGUAUUCGGUAAAUUACAUUGAUUUUGUUUUCCAUUUUGUUAAUUUGCUCAGUGUCUGGAUGGCGUAGGGCCUUUUUUAUAUUUAAAGAUGAUUGAUAGGUGGUUGUGAUUUUGUAUCUCUUUAGGACUCUGGCGAUACGUUCAGAGCCGUAGCUGUAGGGGAGGGAGCAGUAAAGCUUUUUUGAUUGAUCAGGUGUGUUAUUUAAUGGUGGAGAUUUGGUUUGAAAAAUGUUUUUCGAUAAAUUUGCUUGGGUAAUUGUUGUUUUUUAAUUUUCUGAAGAUUCUAUUUCUUGUAGUUGUUAGCCGCCCAAUCAAGGGACAAGGAAGCAGAGUCUGUACCAACUGUGUAAGCUAUAGAGGGUGGAGGUGGUGAAAGCAUAAAAUCUCAUGGUGACAGGUCGGGUUUGGGGCUAGCAUCAUUUUCUGAAGAUUCUAUUUCUCUUCAUUAUUUCAUGAGCAAUGUGUUUCUAAUCUUUUGGAGAGAGCUUUAACCACAGCGUUUUUAUGAUGUACUGGUCCAAUAAUUGAAAAAUAAAUAAUUUCCUGUGUGUGUGCUAAAAAAAGAUCUUUAUUAAGUCAAAAAUGUCCUUACAGCUCUAUUGUUAGUGGGGAAGGGGUACAAUUGAUAUCGAUAUCUAUAAAAUAUUUGUAGAUUUCGUAUUUAAAAUAUGACAUACUUGUUGCGGUCGAGAACGUAGUUGGCUGGACUGAAGCUAAAACCCAGGUUGACGAUCAGGCAUGUUUCUGUAUGGUGUUAUGCUUUGUUAUAAAAAAGGAACUUUAAGGAUUUAUAUCGCUUAGUUUUAUUUAUUUAACUAUUUACAAGGCAAUAUUAUCUAACUUAUAACAAUCACAGCUAUGCCGGAACUUCCGCCAGCCUAAGGUAAACAGUAAUGAUGGGUUGUCAGAUGGUAACUUAUUCUCAACACAUCUCCCCCUUUUCUUCUAGAGGUUUAGCCUGUCUGGCGGCUUUAUCACGCCUCCACUCCUGGUCUUUACUGGUUCCGGUGAUCUCUGGAAUGUCCUCGGUUCACUGUCACAAGUAGUGUUGUCCCAAGUAGAUGUGAAGCACUGACUCAUCUCAGGAGACUCUUCAUCUUCCAUGUCAAUCUUUUCACCCGUUCACCUUAAAAACAAAAUCAGUAAUGAUGAUGAUCAUUCGUCUGUUCACAUUCUAAGUAUCAAUGCUCUUUAUCUAAAUAUAAAUGAUAAAUAAUUAUUAUUUUCUAUUUCAUGCGUAAAUUUUAAAAAUGAUCUUAAAUUAUUCAAAUAUUUUAAAAUUACAGAAAUAUCUGAUUCUGUUAUACAAAAAAAUGUCAUCUAUGUACCUCUUCCAAAAAAAUAAUUUUGAGUUGCUUUGAUUCAGUGACAACUCAAUCAAUUUGGUCCAUGAAAAUGUUCGCUAAUGGCGAUGAGAUAGGGUUUCCCAUCGGUAAGCCUUUGAUUUGUCUGUAGAAUUUAUCUUUGUGUCUGAAAUAAUUGUGUUCUAAACAAAGAGUUUAAUUAAACAAUUAAAACCUCUUUGGAGAAAGAAAUAACAAGAUUUUGAUGGGUUUCUAUAACUUUUUGGAGUGCUAGAAUAGCUUCAUUGUGUGGGAUUGAAGUGUAGAGUGAUUCAAUGUCGAAAGAUACCAUACGGCUGUUAUUAGAAGUUGAAAGGUCUCUGAUUGUUUCUGCAGCUACUGUAGAAUUUGGGACAGUGUGGGGAAGUAAUUUCUGGAGGGGAGAGAUGAUAGUGAGGGGGUAAACCAGCAUAAGAAACAAUAGGAUGCAACAAUAUGUUUGGCUUAUGUACUUUUAUGUGCCAUAAGAGUUUGGUAAAUUCUUGCUUUCGGCCUUUAAAUUUUCAAAUGUUUUUUCUCUAGUUUUUAUAUACACCAUUUUGUCAAGUUUUAUUAUUUAAAUUCUUUAGUGCAAUUUGUUAAUAGAUUUCUUGAAGUAAACCUUCUACCUUAGUAUUGUAAUCUGUAGUGUUCAUAAUUACUGUGUUUUGCCCACAAAUAUCAUUUUAGAAGGAGGAGGAGAGCCAAAAAGUUCAGAGAGAGAGUAUUUGGUGGUAGGAUGGAUGUUACUGAAACACCGGAGACCAUGUUGGGGUUCAUGGUAUCAUUCUGUUUAGGGUUCUUCAUGGACACAUGGCCAACUGUGUUUGUCAAUCUUUAAAACAAGAUUCGAAUCACUGGACGGUGUAACCAGCAUAAGUAAAACUAUUGCAACUCAAUGAUUGUUGGGAAGAAAGAAAAUUUAUUGUAAUUAAUACAAAAAAUUAAGAUCUUUAAUGGUGUGUAAAUGUCUGGUAAAUCAAUUUUCCUAUUUAUACUUUCUUUGUCUUCUGCAGAGGCCCAGCUUGCUAAGAAUAAUCGGCAGUGUUUUUCCUUAAUGUUCUGGUAUAAAAUAGCUGUAUUUUCAAAGUCCGGAGUGUGUUGUCGUAGAGUACAUGAUCUACAAGGAGAGACUGGGUUAGAAUUUCUUAAUAAUUAUUUGUGUUGAUUUAUUGUUGUUCAGUGCAUGAUCAACACGGAGAGACAGUGGGUUAUAAUUUCUUAAUCCUGAUUUGUGUUGAUUUAAACAAUCUUUGAGUGGUUUGCUGGUUUCCCCUAUAUAAUUAGCUGCAAAUUGUUACAAGGUAUUCUGUAAAUUACAUUGAUUUUGUUUUUCAUUUUGGUAAUUUGUUUAGUGUCUGGAUGGUGUAGGGCCUUAUUAAAGAUCUAAAUGGUGUGUAAAUGUCUGGUAAAUCAAUUUUCCUAUUUAUCCUUUCUUUGUCUUCUGCAGAGGCCUAGCUUUCUAAGAACAAUCAGCACUGUUUUUCCUCCAGUUCUCUAGGUCCUUGGCGUCCCCUUUCUUGUGGAGCAAGAUAGAGGAGCUUUCCUUCCACGAAGGGGGUGCCGCACUCAUCUGAAAGCAGGCCUGGAAGAUCUGGGUGAGGAUGGUGGCAUUGGGAUCCACCCAUUUCAGUUCCUGGUAGCUGUCUUGUAGCCUCCCCAUCUUGAAAAAGCAUACUGCGUUGGAAGAGAUGGGUUCUUUCAACUUGGGUUCCGUCCUUGAGAGUGAAGUCUUUGAGGAGAUCUGGGUCAGGGCUGAAUUCGGUGUUGUCCCCAACCAUGCAUUUUUCAAAAUGCUUCUCGAUUAUCUGGAUGGGGAUGGUGCAGCCUGGGGAGCGUUGGCCCAAUAUCUUCUCAAAUAUCGAAGCUGGGUACAGAUGGUCUGGUACUCCGAGGUUUUUGCGGUGGUGGUGCCCUACAUUUUGUCCUUGUGUUAGGUUUCCCAGUCUCAUUUUCACUUCUUUGAUUAAGUUCUCAAUGAGACAGAAGAGCAGUUCUUUGUGGUUUACAGCUGUAUCUGUAUCAUCCCACUCUUCCUGGAAGGGAGUGAGGGAUGUUCGGUGAGAGCGCUGCUGGAGUUCAUCAGGCUGGAGGAGGGGUGACCUUGUGGCUAGAGGGCAGUCGUUAGGUGGAGUGGCUGUGUUUGAAGAACCUCGCUAUCACAAACUUGUGGCGUUUGCACGUUGGGAGGGUCGUUAUCCACGACCGGCAGUUUGUCUGCAGCUUCCUCCUGUUGGAUCAGGGAAUGACGGCAGUGCAGGGUUGGAUGCUGGAGGACUGGUGGGGCGCGUUUCUUCAGAGAAGGUAUCUCUUUGAGCUUCCUCGGCAGAGUUCUCUGAUAAGGGUGAGACAAAAAUUAUUCGGCCCGCUUCGCAGGUAGCCAUACUUGUUAAGUGCACCUCUGGUCUGAAGGGUGUAGCCUUGGCGGAGAUGUCGCUUGUGGGAGGGACGUUUUGUUGUUCCAGUUCCACAGGCCAUCCUGUCGGUGUCUCAGAAGUUGGUUCAUGGGCUGCUGGCUGCCUUGCAGGCUCGGACCUUCUCUCCAACCUUCUGCCUGCAGGAGAAGAAUUGGCUCAGCAUCUCUCUGGUGGAGAUUUUUUUUUUUAAACCUUCUUCCCAGGCUCUCCUUCAACUCGUUAUACCCCAACCGAGUCUGUUGAGACUGGAGGGCAAACUCCCUUGCAGCUCCUCUGAGGUGAUUAUCCAGGAGGAUCCUCUUCCUGGCAUCGACCAAUGGUCAUAGACCAGCUCGAAAUCUUUGAUGAAUUUUUCGAAAGGGACUAUGCCUUCCCCUUCAAGUGGUACAGCAUGGAGGGUAGCUGUACUUGGCUGGUGGGGGUGUUGUCGCUCUCAGUAGUCUUAGCAUUUAUCCCGGGACAUAGAAAUAGGGAAAUCAUACCUACAGAGAUGGGCAACUAGGGAAUAUCAAGAUAUGCCAUGCAUGAGAAUAUGAACUAGAAUGGAAUGUUCCCACUAGGAAUUCAACAUACCACUAUCUAGGGACUUAUAUCGAAAACCCUUCUCAGAAGGCAGUAGAUAGAAAUUACUGAACCACAAGUUUUCGAUCUCCUUUUCAUAGUCCUUUAUAACGCAUCUUUCCCUCUUUUCAUCCCUCAGAAGUUCCAACAUGAAACCCUUCAUCGGGAACCAAGUCUCGAUAUAGUAAUGAAUAUUUUAUCUUUACCCGCUUACAACGCCGUCCAAUCACGGGAGUGAAGUUAAUUUCUAGAUUCUUAGAAAACUUCGAAAAGGCUAUUGCAAACUUACAAUAUAUGAUAUGUUUGCAAUAGUGCAAUAUGACCUAGUUUGGCAUUUACGGUUAUUUUAACCACAUAAUGAUAUGUUUUAUAUGUAUUGGUUUUGUUGUGGGUCGGUGUUUUAAUUGUCCACCAACUUUCUAUGAGGUACUGUGGGUGAGCUUUGUGGAGGUUGCCGAAGUGGACUCCACAUUUUGAGCCAUUGUGUGGAUUCUUUCAUGUCCAAUAACGGUUGGUCUUCAUUUUUGAAGAAUGUUCUGUGGAUUAUUUUUCUGGCCAAUGAUGUGUUUAUGUGUAUUUUCUAGAGAGUAGGUGUGUGAACACUCCAUGUGUACAUUCAAACUCAAUGAAACCACAGCAAUGUUUGGUCCAAUGACGUGGGAGAUCACUCAACAAGCAUUCUUCUUUCCUCAUAACUGAGAAAACUGCUCAUGUAUGUCAAUAAUUUGACAUUCUUAGAUAACUACCACAUAAUGUAUUUAUUUAUUAUCAAAUCCUGUCCAGUUUUGAUACAAUGGAUGGGAUCAGCAGAGGUGCAUCUGGUUGAGUUGUGUCUGAAGCAGCAGCAUCAGAAGCAUUUUUUGAUUCGGAUGGACUCUUCGAAGUGGUUGAUGACGCCUUUUCUUGUAGGUCCAUGAAGGGGGGCCCCAGGAUCAUGAAUGUGGACACCCUAGGUGGAGCUGUUCCUAAUUCUUGUCCUUCGGGGGCUUAGAAGGGGUAGGGUCCUCUAUGGUCUUCGCCUGACAAAUUUCUAAUAUUUCUGAAAGAAGUUCCUCUUGUUCCAGCUUGGAAGUCGUAUUGCUUGGUUCUUGAGGGGCCGGAUUCUUCAGAGUCAGGGGAAGAUGGUGGCAUGUUUUCCUCUUCUUCCCACUCCAGAUAGCAGUUUGCCAUGCCAAUCUGGAGGUUCUGAGGUGAAGGCGGCUGCUGGUGAAGGAGACUUUCUUUUAUACAUAAUACAAACUUAUUAAUAUAUAUAUAUGUAUCAUGAUGAGUUUGUUAUCCUCUCUGGCUAUGUAUAUGGUUUUUACUCAUGUUCUGUUUGAGUGAAGUUAUGUUUUAUGUGAGCUUUUAUCUCAUAUUUGUUGGGUUUGUCUAUAUUUACUUUUUUGUUUGUUUGUUUUGCACUCUCUGGCGAUCCACCGGUGGCGGAGUGUUUCCCGUGGAUGGGAAAUUCAUCGCUAAUGAAGCCUUGUAUAUAUAUCAUUUAUGUAUUUAGCACUAUAUAAUGCUGUGAUAUAAUAAAAGUAGAUUUAAUCUCUAUGUCUCUUUCUUACUAUCUAUCUCUCUCUCUAUAUAUACAUAUUGUCAAGUAGCUCUACAAGAAGCUCCAUGGGACACCUGUCAAUCAUCCCUGGACUCCUCUAUCUUGGGUAUGUAUACUGUAUUGUUGUUUUUGUUGUCAUGUCCAAUGAUGAGACUCAGAUGUCUCCAUACAUCUCUAUAAAAUUAAAUGGCAAUUAAAUUUAAUUUACUAAUACAUCUCUAUCACAGCAAUGUUCUCUAUCUUGGGUGUGUAAAGCUGCUGUUCUGGGUCAAUUUUCUGUUGUUGUUGUCGUGUCCAAUGAAGAGCCUCAGAUGUCAAAAUAUUGAUAUACUUAUAUGCGAUGUACAUUUGUAAUAUACAAGUUACAACUCAGGGUGUGCAAUAAAUAAUAAGGCAAUCCUCAGUGAAAUUCACACAGGAAAAGCCAUAAAAAGUGAUAUAUGAGGCUCUAUAGACGCAAAAUCUUGGAGCCAG